AUGAACGCUGGCGGCGUGCCUCAUCCCUGCCAGUCGCGCGAACAGACGAGGAGCUUGCUCCUCUGACGUUAGCGGCGGACGGGUGAGUAACACGUGGAUAACCUACCUAUAAGCCUGGGAUAACUUCGGGAAACCGGAGCUAAUACCGGAUAAUAUAUUGAACCGCAUGGUUCAAUAGUGAAAGACGGUUUUGCUGUCACUUAUAGAUGGAUCCGCGCCGCAUUAGCUAGUUGGUAAGGUAACGGCUUACCAAGGCAACGAUGCGUAGCCGACCUGAGAGGGUGAUCGGCCACACUGGAACUGAGACACGGUCCAGACUCCUACGGGAGGCAGCAGUAGGGAAUCUUCCGCAAUGGGCGAAAGCUUGACGGAGCAACGCCGCGGGAGUGAUGAAGGUCUUCGGAUCGUAAAACUCUGUUAUUAGGGAAGAACAAAUGUGUAAGUAACUAUGCACGUCUUGACGGUACCUAAUCAGAAAGCCACGGCUAACUACGUG
rnacentral:rRNA from 1 species